UUUCCUUUGUGAAGAACUUAUAUCACAGAUAAUAAAGUUUUAAAUCAAUAGUCUGAACGUAUGCAGAGCUAUAAUCUUUGUAGAUUUGGUAAUCCCCUGUGACAUUUACAGGACAGUUUCUGCAAACUCAGAAUUCCAGAGCUGAAUUAGCAUUUCUGAGGUGUAGGAGAUCCCCUGUGUUCUUGUGAUGUGUGUGGAGCAGCAAAGAAUCAUAAACUCAUGUCUGACAGUGUUUGUAUUUAAGCUUUAGCAACUCCAUUUCAAGAUGUAGGGUGGAAAAAAGGAGGCUGUGGCUGAUUUUCCCUGUCUGGGAGAGUUUUCUGGCAGGAUUUUGAUUCUUUCCCCGUCUCCCUGAGCCGUGUGGAGCCUUGGGAAGCCCGGCACGAGGCCAGCCCUGCUUUGCCCCUGUAACUCACAGAAUCUGUGCCACAGAGUCGGACCCCCAACACCUGCUGGGCGCCUUUCAAGCUGCUUUAACUGGAUCACAAGUUCCCAACUGUAGAUAGAUGUAACAGAGACUAAUCCCAUAAUCUGGACAGAAGUACAAGCCCUGGAUGGAGAGCAGCUCAUGUUACCUCCAGUUGUCCUUCAGUGAUGGCAGGGGAGCUCAGACACUCUCAUCUCCCCCAGCCACUUUUUGGAUGGAACCCUGGAAUUCAAUUGUGCAAAGAUUAAUUAAUAACUCCAUUUCCAUGGCAAGCUCACUGAUUGCUCUGGUUCAGGAGGGUUGGUGUGCUGGCAGUGCAGUGGGAAGGUGCCUGUCCACUCGCGUGCUGCUGUUGCUUAUUGAAGACCAGAGCUCGCUCCCUGCUCGGGCCGCUCCUCAGGAUUCCUAAAGGUAAUUUUUCCCCCCUACACUGCUGGCAGAAGGAUUGGGCAUUGUUUUCUCCGAGGUUCGGCUUCAAAAAGGGGGAGAAGAAAAAAAAAGAAUAAAAUAAAAGCCCGUUUCGCUGGCGAUCCCUUGAAGUUUUUGCUGUUUCCCUGCCUCCCCCUGCACCCCCGGCUGCCGGGGUUUCCCCGUUUCCCCCGGUGGAUGAGAUUUAGCGUUAUUGUUCCUCCGCACGCUGCCCUCCCCGCCGGGGG